rnacentral:rRNA from 1 species
AGCGGCGGACGGGUGAGUAACGCGUGGCAACCUGCCUUGUACAGGGGAUAACAGUUAGAAAUGACUGCUAAUACCGCAUAAGCGCACAGCAUGGCAUCAUGCAGUGUGAAAAACUCCGGUGGUACAAGGAUGGGCCCGCGUUGGAUUAGCUAGUUGUGGGGUAACGGCCCACCAAGGCGACGAUCCAUAGCCGGACUGAGAGGUCGAACGGCCACAUUGGGACUGAGACACGGCCCAGACUCCUACGGGAGGCAGCAGUGGGGAAUAUUGCACAAUGGAGGAAACUCUGAUGCAAGCGACGCCGCGUGAGUGAUGAAGUAUUUCGGUAUGUAAAGCUCUAUCAGCAGGGAAGAAGACGACGGUACCUGACUAAGAAGCCCCGGCUAACUACGUGCCAGCCGCCGC